rnacentral:rRNA from 1 species
GGCUACCUACGGGAGGCAGCAGUGAGGAAUAUUGGUCAAUGGACGAGAGUCUGAACCAGCCACGUAGCGUGAAGGAUGACUGCCCUAUGGGUUGUAAACUUCUUUUAUAUGGGAAUAAAAUGUUCCACGUGUGGGAUUUUGUAUGUACCAUAUGAAUAAGGAUCGGCUAACUCCGUGCCAGCAGCCGUGGUAAUACGGAGGAUCCGAGCGUUAUCCGGAUUUAUUGGGUUUAAAGGGAGCGUAGAUGGGUUGUUAAGUCAGUUGUGAAAGUUUGCGGCUCAACCGUAAAAUUGCAAUUGAUACUG